GACGAACGCUGGCGGCGCGCCUAACACAUGCAAGUCGAACGGAGCUGAGAGGAGCUUGCUUUUCUUAGCUUAGUGGCGAACGGGUGAGUAACGCGUGAGUAACCUGCCCUGGAGUGGGGGACAACAGUUGGAAACGACUGCUAAUACCGCAUAAGCCCACGGCCCGGCAUCGGGCUGCGGGAAAAGGAUUUAUUCGCUUCAGGAUGGACCCGCGUUGGAUUAGCUGGUUGGCAGGGUAACGGCCUACCAAGGCGACGAUCCAUAGCCGGCCUGAGAGGGUGAACGGCCACAUUGGGACUGAGACACGGCCCAGACUCCUACGGGAGGCAGCAGUGGGGAAUAUUGCACAAUGGAGGAAACUCUGAUGCAGCGACGCCGCGUGAGCGAUGAAGUAUUUCGGUAUGUAAAGCUCUAUCAGCAGGGAAGAUAAUGACGGUACCUGAGUAAGAAGCUCCGGCUAAAUACGUG
rnacentral:rRNA from 1 species